CCUACGGGAGGCAGCAGUGGGGAAUAUUGGACAAUGGGGGGAACCCUGAUCCAGCGACGCCGCGUGAGUGAAGAAGUAUUUCGGUAUGUAAAGCUCUAUCAGCAGGGAAGAAAGAAAUGACGGUACCUGACUAAGAAGCCCCGGCUAACUACGUGCCAGCAGCCGCGGUAAUACGGAGGGGGCAAGCGUUAUCCGGAUUUACUGGGUGUAAAGGGAGCGUAGGCGGCGAUGCAAGUCUGAAGUGAAAGGCGGGGGCCCAACCCCCGGACUGCCUUGGAAACUGUAUGGCUGGAGUGCAGGAGAGGUAAGUGGAAUGCCUAGUGUAGCGGUGAAAUGCGUAGAUAUUAGGAGGAACACCAGUGGCGAAGGCGGCUUACUGGACUGUAACUGACGUUGAGGCUCGAAAGCGUGGGGAGCGAACAGGAUUAGAUACCCCAGUAGUC
rnacentral:rRNA from 1 species